CGAGAUCUAAUGGUUUUAUAAGGGACUCUUCCCUCUUCGCUUGGCACGCCACCUUCCUGCCCCCUGGCGAAGAAGGCGCUUUGUUUUCCCCUUCACCUUCUACCAUGACUGUACAUUUUAUGAGGCUUCCCCAACCAUACUGAACCAAAAAUGCAGAUUUGGAAACAAAGCAGGAAGAAGAUGCCAGAAAACCCUGGCAAGGCUCUGACCACUGCCUGCUUAGGAAUGGCCGCAGAGGGAGAGAAAUGUGUUUGCAAUUAGGACGACCCAGAGCAGGUCCGAUUACAUCUGCACGCAGCCACGCUGAAGAGAUUUCCAGAGUGAACUUAUCGUGUGGGCCUAAGUGGAUAAAAGGCAACUUAGGCUGGAGCCAUUACAAGAAAAUAAAUGGGGCCUCCCGCCUUCCACUCUCGAGCUGCCCUUGUUGGGCUCACUCUUACCUCUUGAAUUAAGAGGUACAAAAUCACCAUGAUUUGGGGCCCUCUUACAUUAUAGUUUACAAGAUUUUCAUGCAUUUUUCAGCAAUGGACCAAAAAAAGGGGAAAUAAAACAAGUGUUGUGAAGUGGUUUCCAUGCUGCAUGCUGACUCUGAUUUUCGGAAUGACCUGUGGAUGUUAAAGAGAUUGCAGCAAGACCCUGAAGCAGCCCAGUGGUUAUCCCACCUCUCUCCUUCCGGGGACAGUACUCACAUUUUGCUUCCAGGCUCUUAACACACCCACCAUUGACUCUCUCCAAUAAUCCCUGGCAAGACAAUUAGCUUAACCCACUUUUAAAGACAAAGCAAGGAGUUCUUGGUAAAGAAUUACAGAAAUUAAGGUUUCUCUCCCUUGCCACAAUGUUCUAACACAAAAAUGCUUCCAUCAAACUAGCUGCCACUCCCUUGAUUAAAG
rnacentral:lncRNA from 10 species